AUUUGUCUGGUUAAUUCCGAUAACGAACGAGACCUUAACCUGCUAACUAGAUUCGAUUAUACUAUAUUCGAUAUCUUCUCAGAGGGACUAUGUAAUACAAAUACAUGGAAGUUUGAGGCAAUAACAGGUCAGUGAUGCCCUUAUAUGUCCUGGGCUGCACGCGUGCUACACUGAUGCAUACAACAAGUGCCUAACCAGACAUGGUACGGCAAUCUCGAAUAUGCAUCGUGAUGGGGAUAGAUCUUUGCAAUUAUAGAUCUUGAACGAGGAAUUCCUAGUAAGUGCAAGUCAUCAUCUUGCAUUGAUUAUGUCCCUGCCCUUUGUACACACCGCCCGUCGCUCCUACCGAUACCGGGUGAUCCGGUGAACCUUUUGGACCUUCACGGGGAAGAUAAGUAAACCAUAUCACCUAGAGGAAGGAGAAGUCGUAACAAGGUUUCCGUAGGUGAACCUGCRGAAGGAUCA
rnacentral:rRNA from 1 species